CUCGUUGUAUAGCAAAUCUCUUACUUCAAUCAGAGAAGACAAAGAAGAAGAAGAACGAGAAGAGAUGGGAGGCGGCAAUGGACAGAAAUCAAAGAUGGCUUGCGAGAGGAACAUGGAGAAUCAAAAAGCAGCUAAGGGAAGUCAGCUUGAAUCAAACAAGAAAGCCAUGACGAUUCAAUGCAAGGUGUGCAGGCAGACAUUCAUUUGUACCACAACAGAGGUGAAUUGCAGAGAGCAUGCAGAAGUAAAACACCCAAAAUCUGACGUAUAUGCGUGUUUUCCGCACCUCAAGAAAUGAUAUGGUGAUAGGGAAAAAGAAUUUGUAGAGAUGGGUUCCAAGAUCCUGCAUAUCAUAUCAUGGUGAUAGAAUUUGGAGCUUUUGCAAA
rnacentral:misc_RNA from 1 species